UUGGAUGGAACCGUGUCCUCAGCAGACAGU
rnacentral:piRNA from 2 species